CUUGGCAUGCUUAUUCACCAGUGCUAACCACUGUUAAAACCAAAUACUGGAUUUGUGAUUGCUAGUAAUUGGCAAUCUUAACCAAAGAUAACUCUCAACAACGGAUAUCUUGGCUCUCGCAACGAUGAAGAACGCAGCGAAAUGCGAUACGUAGUGUGAAUUGCAGAAUUCCGUGAACCAUCGAAUCUUUGAACGCAUAUUGCGCUCGAGCCUCCGGGCAAGAGCAUGUCUGCCUCAGCGUCGGUUUACACCCUCACCCCUCCCACUUUGUUGGGUUGUUUGGCAACUUUGCCAGCAUAGGUGGUGGAUCUGGCUUCCCCAAUCUGCCGUCUGGUAGAUUGGGUUGGCUGAAGAAUAGAGGUUUAAGCAAGGACCCGUUAUGGGCUUCAACUGGAUAGGUAGCACCGGCUUGUGCCGACUACACGAAGUUGAUGCUCGUGGAUCUUGCUAGAGGCCAAGCAGGAACGUGCCCAUGGCACGUCUAAACUUUCGACCUGAGCUCAGGCAAGGCUACCCGCUGAACUUAAGCAUAUCAAUAAGCGGAGGAA
rnacentral:rRNA from 1 species